UACGAAGGGGGCUAGCGUUGCUCGGAAUCACUGGGCGUAAAGCGCACGUAGGCGGAUUGCUAAGUCAGGGGUGAAAUCCUGGAGCUCAACUCCAGAACUGCCUUUGAUACUGGCGACCUUGAGUCCGGGAGAGGUGAGUGGAACUGCGAGUGUAGAGGUGAAAUUCGUAGAUAUUCGCAAGAACACCAGUGGCGAAGGCGGCUCACUAGCCCGGUACUGACGCUGAGGUGCGAAAGCGUGGGGAGCAAACAGG
rnacentral:rRNA from 1 species